rnacentral:rRNA from 1 species
AUGCACGCCCCGCGUGACUCUCACUGGACUCUGGUGAAGCGUAUUCUCCGUUACAUACGCGGCACCAUGUCCUUGGGACUCACCCUGACGGCCUCCGCCUCCACCGACCUCGUGGCCUACUCGGAUGCUGACUGGGCUGGCUGCCCCGACAAGCGACGCUCUACGUCAGGCUACUGCGUCUACCUUGGGCCCUCGUUGAUCUCUUGGUCCUCGAAGCGGCAGCCCACGGUCUCCCGCUCCAGCGCCGAGGCAGAGUAUCGCGCCGUGGCCAAUGCCGUGGCCGAGUGCUCUUGGAUACGUCAGUUGCUCCAAGAGUUGCUUUGUGAUGUUCACAAGGCCACUCUUGUCUACUACGAUAACGUCAGCGCGGUCUACCUCUCCGCCAACCCGGUGCACCAUCGACGGACGAAGCAUAUUGAGCUCGACAUUCACUUUGUGCGCGAGCAGGUUGCCCUUGGCCGUGUUCGAGUUCUCCACGUGCCGACAUCGCACCAGUUUGCUGAUGUGAUGACUAAGGGAUUGCCUACUCCCGUCUUCGAGGAGUUUCGGUCUAGUCUCUGUGUCUCCGGCGACGCUUCGACUGCGGGGGGGGGGGGUGUUGAGUAUGUGUUUUGUAUUGCACGUGUAUUGGAGUUGUGGCCCACCUCCUAG